rnacentral:lncRNA from 1 species
CUUGAAUGAAAUAGAAGUUUCUUUUCUUACCAUCCUUAGCUGGCUAAGGAGAGCGACUUGAGGGCAGGAAGGGCCCCAGGAGGAGGCAGGGUUGAGGAGGCAGUGACAGAGCUGCAGGGAGCUACUGCUGGAGCCCCAGGGGCAGGGCAUAUGAAAGGAGAGAACCUGCAUGUCCCUGUCCCCAGGGAACACGCAGGAGCCCCCAGACCCUUAAGAAAACUCAGAGAAACGUCCAGUGAGUCCCGUCCCCAGACAGCCUGGGCCCUGUCAUCUUCCUGUUGCUGGGGUAACACAGGAACCACAGAAGCAAGGCUAUUAGGCCUUCAGGGCCAGUAGUCCCAUCCAGAUUAGGAGCAGGGACGCCUGGGAUGCAUGCCAUCUCAUGUCCCUGUCCCCCACCUGUGGCCAGUGGUACAAACCACAGGUUGCAUUCGGAGCCAGAUAGUUGAAGACUCAGUUGCCCCUUGUCUGUCUCUCAGGCUGGCCACCAGCCCCUCCUAUAGCCUGUGUUUUGACAGCCUUGGGUUCUCAUGGGACCCAGGGUGUGGAAGGACCCAGGGGGGAGUUGAGAGGCAUCAGCCCCGUGGCAGAUGAGCCAGAGAGCCCCAGGUGAUAGGAUCGUGAUGUCCCUGAUCUUCAGCCUUUUGUCCCCAUCAAAAUUCCCUUAGUGUGAGAAGGAUUGGCACUUAAUGAGCACCAGCUGUAUGCAGGGCAGCCUUCAGUGACCCAGACCCACCAGGCCUUAAACACUGGUUCUUAGGGGAGCUCAGAUCAGGAGAGGCGUCCCCAGGAUGUCCUCUGUGGAGGCAAGCAGAGGGGCAUUCAGAGCCUGUGGCCCUUCUCUCACCAAGGAAAGAGGGUACCUGAGAUGUCCCCAGAGCUCAGAAGGUAGGGCCCCAGUGGGGUUGGCCACAUGGGGCUUCAUCUUGUCCUCGCUCUUCCUGUCUGAUUCCGGCAAGGGUGGCUCUCAGGAGUGUGCUCAGGGUGCCUCUGGAAGAAGGGUACAGGCUGAGCUGAGGGGCCUCCCUGUAGCUAACCGUGUGGCCUCCACCCAAGGUCAAGGUCAAGCUUCCACUUCCACCUGUGCUUAACCUCCUGCCUUCAAGGCUGACCCCACGGGGACACAGGCUGAGCACUGCAG